AUUGAACGCUGGCGGCAUGCCUUACACAUGCAAGUCGAACGGCAGCACGGGUGCUUGCACCUGGUGGCGAGUGGCGAACGGGUGAGUAAUACAUCGGAACGUACCUUAUCGUGGGGGAUAACGCAGCGAAAGCUGUGCUAAUACCGCAUACGCCCUGAGGGGGAAAGCGGGGGAUCGCAAGACCUCGCGCGAUUAGAGCGGCCGAUGCCUGAUUAGCUAGUUGGUGGGGUAAAAGCCCACCAAGGCGACGAUCAGUAGCUGGUCUGAGAGGACGAGAGGCCACACUGGGACUGAGACACGGCCCAGACUCCUACGGGAGGCAGCAGUGGGGAAUUUUGGACAAUGGGGGCAACCCUGAUCCAGCAAUGCCGCGUGAGUGAAGAAGGCCUUCGGGUUGUAAAGCUCUUUUGUCAGGGAAGAAACACCGGCUCUAACACAGUCCGGGAAUGACGGUACCUGAAGAAUAAGCACCGGCUAACUACGUGCCAGCCGCCGCCGUAA
rnacentral:rRNA from 1 species